AGAGUUUGAUCCUGGCUCAGGACGAACGCUGGCGGCACGCUUAACACAUGCAAGUCGAACGAGAGAAGAGGAGCUUGCUUUUCUGAUCUAGUGGCGGACGGGUGAGUAACACGUGAGCAAUCUGCCUUUCAGAGGGGGAUACCGAUUGGAAACGAUCGUUAAUACCGCAUAACAUAAUUGAACCGCAUGAUUUGAUUAUCAAAGAUUUAUCGCUGAAAGAUGAGCUCGCGUCUGAUUAGCUAGUUGGUAAGGUAACGGCUCACCAAGGCGACGAUCAGUAGCCGGACUGAGAGGUUGAUCGGCCACAUUGGGACUGAGACACGGCCCAGACUCCUACGGGAGGCAGCAGUGGGGAAUAUUGCACAAUGGAGGAAACUCUGAUGCAGCGAUGCCGCGUGAGGGAAGAAGGUUUUAGGAUUGUAAACCUCUGUCUUCAGGGACGAAAAAAGACGGUACCUGAGGAGGAAGCUCCGGCUAACUACGUGCCAGCAGCCGCGGUAAUACGUAGGGAGCGAGCGUUGUCCGGAAUUACUGGGUGUAAAGGGAGCGUAGGCGGGAUCGCAAGUCAGAUGUGAAAACUAUGGGCUUAACCCAUAAACUGCAUUUGAAACUGUGGUUCUUGAGUGAAGUAGAGGUAAGCGGAAUUCCUAGUGUAGCGGUGAAAUGCGUAGAUAUUAGGAGGAACAUCAGUGGCGAAGGCGGCUUACUGGGCUUUAACUGACGCUGAGGCUCGAAAGCGUGGGGAGCAAACAGGAUUAGAUACCCUGGUAGUCCACGCCGUAAACGAUGAUUACUAGGUGUGGGGGGACUGACCCCUUCCGUGCCGCAGCAAACGCAAUAAGUAAUCCACCUGGGGAGUACGACCGCAAGGUUGAAACUCAAAGGAAUUGACGGGGGCCCGCACAAGCAGUGGAGUAUGUGGAUUAAUUCGAAGCAACGCGAAGAACCUUACCAGGUCUUGACAUCGUAUGCAUAGCUCAGAGAUGAGUGAAAUCUCUUCGGAGACAUAUAGACAGGUGGUGCAUGGUUGUCGUCAGCUCGUGUCGUGAGAUGUUGGGUUAAGUCCCGCAACGAGCGCAACCCUUACUGUUAGUUGCUACGCAAGAGCACUCUAGCAGGACUGCCGUUGACAAAACGGAGGAAGGUGGGGAUGACGUCAAAUCAUCAUGCCCCUUAUGACCUGGGCCUCACACGUACUACAAUGGCUGUCAACAGAGGGAAGCAAAGCCGCGAGGUGGAGCGAACCCCUAAAAGCAGUCUUAGUUCGGAUUGUAGGCUGCAACCCGCCUACAUGAAGUCGGAAUUGCUAGUAAUCGCAGAUCAGCAUGCUGCGGUGAAUACGUUCCCGGGCCUUGUACACACCGCCCGUCACGCCAUGGGAGUCGGUAACACCCGAAGCCUGUAGUCUAACCGCAAGGAGGACGCAGUCGAAGGUGGGAUUGAUGACUGGGGUGAAGUCGUAACAAGGUA
rnacentral:rRNA from 1 species